GCCUAAACAUACCUGAGCUAAGACGUACGUCCUUGAGAUACGCAGGUCCAGACAGGAGAUUCAGUGUCAACAAUGAACAUACUGGACUGAAGGGUGUUACUGAGGUAGCUCAGGCAAAAUGAGCCAAUCACCGCAAGUAUCCUCCUGGUCUGUGGAGGAGGUGUUGGAAUGGAUUCAGGCACAGCACCCACAACACAUCAAAACACUCUAUAAAGGGAUCAUCAAACAUGACAUAUCAGGCCGAGCUUUGCUGAGACUGAAGGAGCGUCACCUGGGGCUUCUAGGGAUGGAGGAUGACGACCAGCAGCAGGAAAUAUUGCAGGACCUUCUGCUUCUCAGAGUUCAGGAAGAAAUCAAUGAACUCAAUGACAUCUGCUUUGACUGUUUUUCUUCAUAAUGGACGGCCAAACGACCAAAAGAUACCCAGCUGUUUUUUUUUAUUUUAUUUCCCGUCUAUCCAUUCAUCUGUGUGUCUGAGAUUGAAAGGAGUGAUGGAAAUAACAGGAGAAGGUGAAUAGAAAGGGGGAUCGAUGGGGAAGAGAAGAGAAAAAGAAACCCAUUUCCUGUGUGAAAUUUGACCAGCGCAGAUGGAUGAGAUUAGUUUUUGUCUGGUUGUCUCUUUUUGAUCCUUAUUGUUCAUUUGUCUCUGUCUUUGUCCUCUUUCUGUAUUCCGUUUAGCCAUACCAAUAUCAAAUAUACUGCAACAGAAUUUAAAUUAAAGAAGUGAUUUUUUUUUUUUUUUUACCAGAAUGCCCCUGUGAUCUUUAUUUAGAACUAAUCACAGGGAUUUCUGAAAAGGUUUGGGAUUUGAUGCAGUUAUUCUUUUAUUAUUAUUUGUUAUUCUCCAGGUCUAGAAAAGGACAGAAAAAAAAUUUAAAAAAUUUUCUUGAAGCUUUUCUUCUUUUCUUGUUAAUCU